rnacentral:rRNA from 1 species
CCUACGGGAGGCUGCAGUGGGGAAUAUUGGACAAUGGGGGCAACCCUGAUCCAGCCAUGCCGCGUGUGUGAAGAAGGCCCUCGGGUUGUAAAGCACUUUCAGUGAGGAAGAACGCCUGGUGGUUAAUACCCAUCAGGAAAGACAUCACUCACAGAAGAAGCACCGGCUAACUCCGUGCCAGCAGCCGCGGUAAUACGGAGGGUGCGAGCGUUAAUCGGAAUUACUGGGCGUAAAGCGCGCGUAGGUGGCUUGAUAAGCCGGUUGUGAAAGCCCCGGGCUCAACCUGGGAACGGCAUCCGGAACUGUCAAGCUAGAGUGCAGGAGAGGAAGGUAGAAUUCCCGGUGUAGCGGUGAAAUGCGUAGAGAUCGGGAGGAAUACCAGUGGCGAAGGCGGCCUUCUGGACUGACACUGCCACUGAGGUGCGAAAGCGUGGGUAGCAAACAGGAUUAGAUACCCCGGUAGUC